GUCCGUAUCGAUUAGGGGUUAAAUCACCUCGUUGUGGAAAACACCCCCGAGGAGCCACUGGUUCGAUUCCAGUUACGGACA